rnacentral:rRNA from 1 species
GACGAACGCUGGCGGCGUGCUUAACACAUGCAAGUCGAACGGAAAGGCCCUGCUUGCAUGGUACUCGAGUGGCGAACGGGUGAGUAACACGUGGGUGAUCUGCCUUGCACUUCGUGAUAAGCCUGGGAAACUGGGUCUAAUACCGGAUAGGAGCCAUUUUUAGUGUGAUGGUUGGAAAGUUUUUUCGGUGUAGGAUGAGCUCGCGGCCUAUCAGCUUGUUGGUGGGGUAAUGGCCUACCAAGGCGGCGACGGGUAGCCGGCCUGAGAGGGUGGACGGCCACAUUGGGACUGAGAUACGGCCCAGACUCCUACGGGAGGCAGCAGUGGGGAAUAUUGCACAAUGGGCGCAAGCCUGAUGCAGCGACGCCGCGUGGGGGAUGACGGCCUUCGGGUUGUAAACUCCUUUCGCUAGGGACGAAGCUUUUGUGACGGUACCUAGAUAAGAAGCACCGGCUAACUACGUG